rnacentral:rRNA from 2 species
AAGUCUGAUGGAGCACGCCGCGUGAGUGAAGAAGGGUUUCGGCUCGUAAAACUCUGUUGUUAAAGAAGAACAUAUCUGAGAGUAACUGUUCAGGUAUUGACGGUAUUUAACCAGAAUGCCACGGCUAACUACGUGCCAGCAGCCGCGGUAAUACGUAGGUGGCAAGCGUUGUCCGGAUUUAUUGGGCGUAAAGCGAGCGCAGGCGGUUUUUCAAGUCUGAUGUGAAAGCCUUCGGCUUAACCGAAGAAGUGCAUCGGAAACUGGGAAACUUGAGUGCAAAAGAGGACAGUGGAACUCCAUGUGUAGCGGUGAAAUGCGUAGAUAUAUGGAAGAACACCAGUGGCGAAGGCGGCUGUCUGGUCUGUAACUGACGCUGAGGCUCGAAAGUAUGGGUAGCAAACAGGAUUAGAUACCCUGGUAGUCCAUACCGUAAACCAUGAAUGCUAAGUGUUGGAAGGUUUCCGCCCUUCAGUGCUGCAGCUAACGCAUUAAGCAUUCCGCCUGGGGAAUUCCGGCGCAAGGUGAAACUCCAAAGGAAUUGACGGGGGCCCGCACAAGCGGUGGAG